AUUGAACGCUGGCGGCAUGCCUUACACAUGCAAGUCGAACGGCAGCACGGGUGCUUGCACCUGGUGGCGAGUGGCGAACGGGUGAGUAAUACAUCGGAACGUACCUUAUCGUGGGGGAUAACGCAGCGAAAGCUGUGCUAAUACCGCGUACGCCCUGAGGGGGAAAGCGGGGGAUCGCAAGACCUCGCGCGAUUAGAGCGGCCGAUGCCUGAUUAGCUAGUUGGUGGGGUAAAAGCCCGCCAAGGCGACGAUCAGUAGCUGGUCUGAGAGGACGAUCAGCCACACUGGGACUGAGACACGGCCCAGACUCCUACGGGAGGCAGCAGUGGGGAAUUUUGAACAAUGGGGGCAACCCUGAUCCAGCAAUGCCGCGUGAGUGAAGAAGGCCUUCGGGUUGUAAAGCUCUUUUGUCAGGGAAGAAACACCGGCUCUAACACAGUCCGGGAAUGACGGUACCUGAAGAAUAAGCACCGGCUAACUACGUGCCAGCCGCCGCAGUAA
rnacentral:rRNA from 1 species